ACUUGAGACGGGGAGGCAUUGUAAGCCAGGGGCUGCUUUACACAUCAGCCCCCCACUGGAGAGUCAGUUCUUGCAAUGAUGCUGACUUGAAGAGGUGAUGCUGGAUAUCAUGCUGCUCAUGGGAUGGAGGGAGCUGGAGCUACUGGAGAGGAUACAGUUCGUAAACGUACAGGAAUCCGUCAAGAAGAGGUAUAACUCAGAUUCUCUUGACUAUCAAUGUCAACCCACCGCUGCAAUUCCGUAUACUAUCAACACCACUACCACUGGGGGCAAUCUCGUUUGCUAUGCGAUCUAUUGAUCAAUGUCUCAAACAGGACACGAUCAACACGGCUACAAUCUCGUGAACUAUCGACGCGACUACUACUGGGCACGAUCUCGUUUGCUAUGUCAACUGAAGAAUAGCGACCUAUUGAUCAAUGUCUCAAACAAGACACAAUCUCAACUUGUAUGUUUCAACAAAAACCAAAUUACUCUCAACAAGCGGAACAAGCGGAAUUUCUAUAUCAACUCAAUUUAUAUUUCUUUAGGCCACCGAUGAAAACAGUCCUGUUCGACAAAAAAUGGUGCCAUCAUACUUUUUUUGGACCUUACUUGACCCUGCAGAGUGGAAAAAAUUGACUCCAAAAAUUUUUGAUUUUCGUAAAAUUUUGUAAAUCCAAGAAAAAAAUGUAAAUCCGCGAAAUUUUUUUCAGCGUUUUAUCGAAAAGAAAAUGCUGAUUUUAAUUAAAAUUUGAAGUGGUCUGAUAGCCUAGUAAGUCUUUAUUUCUAUAUAUAUCUAGCCUUUAUCUGUUGGGUAUAAUAAUCCAAAAUUGGCAAAAAACAGUUUAGAUUUAACAACCUUCUUUUUUAUUCCGUC